rnacentral:rRNA from 1 species
CCUACGGGUGGCAGCAGUCGAGAAUCAUUCACAAUGGGGGAAACCCUGAUGGGGCGACGCCGCGUGGGGGAAUGAAGGUCUGCGGAUUGUAAACCCCUGUCAUGUGGGAGCAAAUUAAAAAGAUAGUACCACAAGAGGAAGAGACGGCUAACGCUGUGCCAGCAGCCGCGGUAAUACAGAGGUCUCAAGCGUUGUUCGGAAUCACUGGGCGUAAAGCGUGCGUAGGCUGUUUCGUAAGUCGUGUGUGAAAGGCGCGGGCUCAACCCGCGGACGGCACAUGAUACUGCGAGACUAGAGUAGUGGAGGGGGAAGCGGAAUUCUCGGUGUAGCAGUGAAAUGCGUAGAUAUCGAGAGGAACACUCGUGGCGAAGGCGGGUUCCUGGACAUUAACUGACGCUGAGGCACGAAAGCCAGGGGAGCGAAAGGGAUUAGAUACCCCAGUAGUC